GACACGAUGGUUCAGCUGUGGACAUCCUUCGCCGAUACUGGAGUACCGUCGACGUUAGGUUUGGAUAACUCGACGAUUUGGGCUCCCUUUUCGUCUCUUGAUAAUUAUCUUCGCAUUGGUAACGGAUCUGACGUAACUCUUGAAGUUCAGUAUGGUUUUCGUAAAGAACGAAUGCAGUUUUGGGAAAAAUUAACCGCUGCUACGACAUGGAAAUAGCCAUUGGAUAACUCUUUUGGACAUGUUUUGAAACCCAUGGUCUGUUUACAACUUUUCAGUGAAUUGCGGCUUAAAGGAGUACGCAUGGCUUGGAAAAAUCUGUUAAAUACCUACCUUAAAAGACCAAUAAUAUAUUCCUAUGUUAUGAUUGUUGAAAUUUUCAUCUGACCACGUGGAAUCUGUGGAUUUUUGAAAUUGACAUGGUCAAUAAAAUAUGUAUGUGACGAAUGCUUCCACGAUCACUAAAUUUUUAAGAAUAAAAUCAAAAUCAAAUAGCGAGGUAUUUCAUGUGGAUACCUACAAUUGGGAGUCGUUUAACACCACAUCAAUUGUAAGGGUCGUGUGAAUGAUAAACUGCUACGUGAUGGUUAUAAGGGGGGAGUUCUAAGACACGUUCCCUAGAAUGAGGUGGGCUUACCGAUCUUUUAUGGGCUUGCCACCCAUUUAUGAGCCGGCUCCUUAAAAUAAUGCGUCCUUCAGAAGCACAUGGAGAAAGUGAGUAUCACAACGGUCGCUAAAGCGAUAUAAAGUAAUUACCAUGGGUAUCAAACGGAAGUCCAUUACUGCGGCAACUUAUAUUUUCUACAAGUCCAUCACGGCGCACAUUAGUCCCAAGUCCCGAAAAACUGGCCAAAACCUCGAAGCAUGAUCUUAUUUGAAUGAAAAUUGGUACUUCGGAAUUAUUGGGAUUGCUGAUUACAAAUCCGGAUUCGAAAUUUGCAUAAACAGAUUGGCAGACCAAAAUAGCAAACUCAUACAUUGAAAAACAAGUCGGAUUUCAACCAAAUUGGUAUACUGGGGCUUUCGAGAUGACUGAUUACAAAUCCGAAGUCGGAAUUAUUAUAAAUAAAAUGUGAUAUUCAAGUUGGUGAAGUUUGUGUCCAAAAUCUCUCGGAUUUCAAUCAAAAUUAAAUUUUGGAAUUUUUGUGAAUCUAGGUUACGAUUUGAUAUAAUUUGCACCAAAACCAUUAUCAAAAUAAAACAUACUGUGCACUUUGA